AUUUCCCUCUGUCGUCAGGCCUAACACAUGCAAGUCGAGCGGAUGAAGGGAGCUUGCUCCUGGAUUCAGCGGCGGACGGGUGAGUAAUGCCUAGGAAUCUGCCUGGUAGUGGGGGAUAACGUCCGGAAACGGGCGCUAAUACCGCAUACGUCCUGAGGGAGAAAGUGGGGGAUCUUCGGACCUCACGCUAUCAGAUGAGCCUAGGUCGGAUUAGCUAGUUGGUGGGGUAAAGGCCUACCAAGGCGACGAUCCGUAACUGGUCUGAGAGGAUGAUCAGUCACACUGGAACUGAGACACGGUCCAGACUCCUACGGGAGGCAGCAGUGGGGAAUAUUGGACAAUGGGCGAAAGCCUGAUCCAGCCAUGCCGCGUGUGUGAAGAAGGUCUUCGGAUUGUAAAGCACUUUAAGUUGGGAGGAAGGGCAGUAAGUUAAUACCUUGCUGUUUUGACGUUACCAACAGAAUAAGCACCGGCUAACUUCGUG
rnacentral:rRNA from 1 species